AUUUUGCUUAAAUGCCAAUAUUGGUAAGCAUCAUAUUUUGUUUUAAAGUUAGGUUUGGCAUAAACAUCAAUUUUUUUAUGAUACUUAUUAAGUUCAAGUUUCAAACUUGAACUUAAUAUGUUACAAAUGAAGUUAUGAAAGUAUUAUAUAUAUGUCUGUAAGCUUGCAUUGCAUGUGAUGAGGGUGAAUGUUAGUGUUUAUUUAUAUUUUCAAAUGUUCGGUUUUAUAAUUGGCUGUAACCAAAAGCUAUGUUUCAUCUAUCGGGAGAUUGGAUUUACUUAAACGUUGUUUUAAUAUUUUAGAAGGCUAGAAUGUAAAUCAGUUAUACAAUAAUAACUUUUAAGUUUGUCUCUGAAGCUGAUAAACAUUGAGAAGUUGAUUCAAAGUAAAUAGGAAUCAAAUCAUAAGAUGUUUUGGAGGAACUCUUGCAUAUCAUGCAAAUAAGUGCUGAAUGCUAGUUUAUAAAACAUGGUCGAGAUUCAUGUAACAACUAUUGAGGAUUUAAAGAAUUAAAAUUCUCUUAACAUGUUUGAAAGGGUCUUCGUGGUUUGUAAAAAUAGCAAGGUGGACUAUCCAAUGUGUGUCAUUAAUGAUGCUGAAAGGUCACCUAGGUAUUUGUUUGAUGUGUGUAUGUUUGUCCCAUAUUUCUUACUUGCUAGAAGUCAUUUCUAGUGUGGCAUUGAACAAAAGUUAAUUACCGUAAUUUUCUUGGAAGGAAUAUUCUGGGCAUAUAUUGCCUAAAAGUGGGGAGAUGACAUAAUUACAUUUCCUUAUUGUUACUUAGCUCCACAGUUCAUUCUUCUACAAUAAAAAGAAGUAUAACUUAAUAAAAAAAACCUUGAGAUUUAAUGCUAACUACGUUUUGAUUUCAUCAACUAAACUCAAUUAAGCUUUU
rnacentral:misc_RNA from 1 species